rnacentral:lncRNA from 1 species
AUGUGUUGUUGCGGACCCAGGGUCACAGUGGUCAUUGGUGAAAUGGACAACUUCUUGGAAUGGCUCCAAUCACAAGGUCUGAGAGCAGAAACAGCCCAAGCAGUGAUCAAUAUACUUGGAAUUGAGAAUCGGAAGGUUCUUCAAGCUUGUACAGACUACGAUUCAUUGCGAACAGAGCUCCUCUCUCUCGCCAAAGAGAAAUUUAAAUUUGCAAUGUAUGCUGACUUCUGUAAAUUUGUGAAAUCUUUUUUGAAGCCGCAGGUUGUCCAGCUUGCAGGCUCUUCUCUGUUGGGAAGUUUAUUCGUCAACUUGGAGAAUGUUAUUCGCGAACUUUCCAGUUUCUGCCAAAAGUUUAUUGGAUUCCAAAAUGUGCAGCUGGAAAAUGUUCCUGGUUUUCGGGGAAUCUGUUUCAGUGAUGUCUGCAACCUCCAUAAUCAGGAUGAUGGAUUAACACCUAAGUCUGAUCAUCAAUCUCCUCUGAGUUAUCAUGGAUGUAGGUGCAACAUUCCGACCCUACAACUGCACAUGUGCCUCCCUUUGCAGCCAAUAAAACAUCAAAGGUGAUGUCCAUCCUGUAAAUUUGAAAUCCAGAUGACACAACAGUGCAUCUGUCUCAGAAACUUUAAGUUAUGCUUCUGUUAAGGAAGAUUCCGAUGUUCAUUUGACAAAGGGCAGUACUGUCUGUUCUGCAACAAGUGAGCAGAAACCUACAAAAUGAACAUUCAAUAUUUUGAAUGCAGGGUUUAUAAAAUUUUUGAAAUCGUUAAAUAUGUGGCAAAUUGAGUUUGACAUAAAAGAAAAUAUCUAAAAUAACUUGUUCUUUGUUUUUGUAGAACAAACAAGGAGUCGGGGGGG